rnacentral:rRNA from 1 species
GUGGGGAAUAUUGCACAAUGGGCGAAAGCCUGAUGCAGCAACGCCGCGUGAGGGAUGACGGCCUUCGGGUUGUAAACCUCUUUUAGCAGGGAAGAAGCGAGAGUGACGGUACCUGCAGAAAAAGCGCCGGCUAACUACGUGCCAGCAGCCGCGGUAAUACGUAGGGCGCGAGCGUUGUCCGGAAUUAUUGGGCGUAAAGAGCUCGUAGGCGGUUUGUCGCGUCUGCUGUGAAAUCCCGAGGCUCAACCUCGGGCUUGCAGUGGGUACGGGCAGACUAGAGUGCGGUAGGGGAGACUGGAACUCCUGGUGUAGCGGUGGAAUGCGCAGAUAUCAGGAAGAACACCGAUGGCGAAGGCAGGUCUCUGGGCCGUUACUGACGCUGAGGAGCGAAAGCAUGGGGAGCGAACAGGAUUAGAUACCCUGGUAGUCC